ensembl:lncRNA
ACCCAGACCCCAGAGACGUCUUCCUGGGGUGGGGGACAGUAGGGACCGGACUUCUUCUCCUCCUCUUCUUUCCUUUAUGAGCCAUGGCAUUCCUCUUGCGUCACAGCUGGGCUCAAGUGGCUCAGUUCAUCCAGCCUUCACCUUUAGGGGCCACCCACGCCUCCUCCCAAGAUGACUGCCAAGCCCUUUCCUCUGAAUUCCUCAUGGAGUGCCUGGCUUUCUUUUCAAGAGGAACAGCCCUUCUGCCUCUGAAGUGGGGCCCAGAGACCCAGGGUUAUGAGGCCCUUGUGUUUUCACAGCCGCAGGGAGGGCCCUCCAGGGGCAGAGAUGGGCAUAGGGAACAACGGCUCUGGCUCCAGUCUGGGGAGAGAAAGGAGAGAGAAGAAGGGGAGAGACUGCAGGAGGCAGAGUCAGAUCCAGAAAUAAAGAAAUGGAAAAUCUGUACCUUGUUCAUGUAUUCAUUUG